GUAAGUUCUUGUUUUAUUGUUCUUUGGUUUAUGAGUUUACUUUAAUCUCUUCGCGUAGAGUUUAGAGUAAUCAUCUCUAGCGUAGACGUGGUGUUUGGGCUAGGAUACUCAUAGAUAUUCCCUGACUAGCUAGACCGUGGUAGUAGCGAGGAACGUGACAUUUCCGAGUUACCUUUGCAAACCAUAUCUCGUUAGCAGGAAGGAUAGGGUUUAUAGGUGUGGGUUGAACAUCCUCUGUGGUGUCUAGAUUCCGUAAGCUUCCCCAAUAGAACAACAGUAGAUUAUCCUUACCAAGACUACAAAGAGAUUACGGUUGUAGUCUUCGCUAUAUAUCACUCACUCGAGAAACAUUCUUUGUAGCCUAAAGGUUAGUAGUAAUAGACUGG
rnacentral:lncRNA from 1 species